UGGGGAAUAUUGGACAAUGGGCGAAAGCCUGAUCCAGCAAUGCCGCGUGAGUGAUGAAGGCCUUAGGGUUGUAAAGCUCUUUUACCCGGGAUGAUAAUGACAGUACCGGGAGAAUAAGCCCCGGCUAACUCCGUGCCAGCAGCCGCGGUAAUACGGAGGGGGCUAGCGUUGUUCGGAAAUACUGGGCGUAAAGCGAACGUAGGCGGCCUGGCAAGUCAGGGGUGAAAUCCCGGAGCUCAACUCCGGAACUGCCCUUGAAACUGCUAGGCUUGAAUCCUGGAGAGGCGAGUGGAAUUCCGAGUGUAGAGGUGAAAUUCGUAGAUAUUCGGAAGAACACCAGUGGCGAAGGCGACUCGCUGGACAGGUAUUGACGCUGAGGUUCGAA
rnacentral:rRNA from 1 species